AACGAACGCUGGCGGCAGGCCUAACACAUGCAAGUCGAACGCCGUAGCAAUACGGAGUGGCAGACGGGUGAGUAACACGUGGGAACGUACCCUUCGGUUCGGAAUAACUCAGGGAAACUUGAGCUAAUACCGGAUACGUCCGAGAGGAGAAAGAUUUAUCGCCGAGGGAUCGGCCCGCGUCUGAUUAGCUUGUUGGUGAGGUAACGGCUCACCAAGGCGACGAUCAGUAGCUGGUCNGAGAGGAUGAUCAGCCACA
rnacentral:rRNA from 1 species